UGCCCCCUGCUGUGUUCGGCCGGGCUCAUAUUUUCCGAACCGAUAGCUUCCUCUGGUUGCGGCCUCAAGCGUCACUGUUGUGAUCGUCCCACGCGUGCGUGCCGGACGAACCUGAUGUGACCGGAAAGCGACCACCCUGUUUGGCAGGGUUCGGGAGCCGAGCCCACCGGCACGGGCGGGGGGCAC
rnacentral:other from 1 species